rnacentral:rRNA from 1 species
ACGGUCCUAAGGUAGCGAAAUUCCUUGUCGGGUAAGUUCCGACCUGCACGAAUGGCGUAAUGAUGGCCAGGCUGUCUCCACCCGAGACUCAGUGAAAUUGAACUCGCUGUGAAGAUGCAGUGUACCCGCGGCAAGACGGAAAGACCCCGUGAACCUUUACUAUAGCUUGACACUGAACACUGGUCCUUGAUGUGUAGGAUAGGUGGGAGGCUUUGAAGCGUGGACGCCAGUCUGCGUGGAGCCGUCCUUGAAAUACCACCCUUUAAUGGCUGGUGUUCUAACGUAGACCCGUGAUCCGGGUUGCGGACAGUGUCUGGUGGGUAGUUUGACUGGGGCGGUCUCCUCCCAAAGAGUAACGGAGGAGCACGAAGGUUAGCUAAUCCUGGUCGGACAUCAGGAGGUUAGUGCAAUGGCAUAAGCUAGCUUGACUGCGAGAGUGACGGCUCGAGCAGGUGCGAAAGCAGGUCAUAGUGAUCCGGUGGUUCUGAAUGGAAGGGCCAUCGCUCAACGGAUAAAAGGUACUCCGGGGAUAACAGGCUGAUACCGCCCAAGAGUUCAUAUCGACGGCGGUGUUUGGCACCUCGAUGUCGGCUCAUCACAUCCUGGGGCUGAAGUAGGUCCCAAGGGUAUGGCUGUUCGCCAUUUAAAGUGGUACGCGAGCUGGGUUUAGAACGUCGUGAGACAGUUCGGUCCCUAUCUGCCGUGGGCGCUGGAGAAUUGAGGGGGGCUGCUCCUAGUACGAGAGGACCGGAGUGGACGCAUCACUGGUGUUCGGGUUGUCAUGCCAAUGGCACUGCCCGGUAGCUAAAUGCGGAAAAGAUAAGUGCUGAAAGCAUCUAAGCACGAAACUUGCCCCGAGAUGAGUUCUCCCUGACCCUUUAAGGGUCCUGAAGGAACGUUGAAGACGACGACGUUGAUAGGUCGGGUGUGUAAGCGCAGCGAUGCGUUGAGCUAACCGAUACUAAUGAACCGUGAGGCUUAACCUU